rnacentral:rRNA from 1 species
CCUACGGGUCGCAGCAGUAGGGAAUAUUGCACAAUGGGCGCAAGCCUGAUGCAGCCAUGCCGCGUGUGUGAAGAAGGCCUUCGGGUUGUAAAGCACUUUCAGCGAGGAGGAAGGUGGUGAACUUAAUACGUUCAUCAAUUGACGUUACUUGCAGAAGAAGCACCGGCUAACUCCGUGCCAGCAGCCGCGGUAAUACGGAGGGUGCAAGCGUUAAUCGGAAUUACUGGGCGUAAAGCGCACGCAGGCGGUUUGUUAAGUCAGAUGUGAAAUCCCCGGGCUCAACCUGGGAACUGCAUUUGAAACUGGCAAGCUAGAGUCUCGUAGAGGGGGGUAGAAUUCCAGGUGUAGCGGUGAAAUGCGUAGAGAUCUGGAGGAAUACCGGUAGCGAAGGCGGCCCCCUGGACGAAGACUGACGCUCAGGUGCGAAAGCGUGGGGAGCAAACAGGAUUAGAUACCCCCGUAGUC